rnacentral:lncRNA from 1 species
CAGGUAGAGACAGUAAACAUCUGAAGGGGGAGGCUGCCUGUCUUUUUCUGUUGCUCCCAGGAGUCUGGCCCGAGCUGGAAGCAGACACCGAGGGACGGGCAGGCUUCAGAACAGAGGGGACAAAUGAAGAAAGGAGGCCACCGGCCGGCCGACUGCUGCCGCCACUCUCGAUUCCCUUGGCUAAGGGAAUCUGUUCACAAAAGGACAUGGUUCCAAAAGGGGGUGGGCCGAGGAGAACAGAGUUUCAGGCUCUGUUGACACUCUCAAAAUGGCCAACCACAUAAAGGAAGGCCUCCUGAAACUCCUCCUGGAGUUUCUGUUCAUUUUAUUUUUAUUGAUCAUCCUCUGUUUAAACCCGUACUUUCUGUCUUAGAGACAAUUCUAAGAAGGGCAAGAACUAGGCAAACAAGGUUAAAUGACUUGCCCACGGUCAUAGAGCUAAGAAGUGUCUGUGGUCAGAUCUGAACCCAGGUCUUCCUGUCUCCAGACCUGAUGCUCUGUCUUGUUGUGCCACCUAGCCGCCUCUGGUCUUUUUUUAAAUUGUAUCUUUUGGGGGCAGCUGGGUAGCUCAGUGGAUGGAGAGCCAGGCCUAGAGACAGGAGGUCCUAGGUUCAAAUCUGGCCUCAGACACUCCCCAGCUGUGUGACCCUAGGCAAGUCACUUGACCCCCAUUGCCUAGCCCUUACCACUCUUCUUCCUGGAG